rnacentral:rRNA from 1 species
AUGGCCGCAACGGCGUGCUCUACGGCGCUUCUGGGUGUAGCAGGAGCACGCCUCCCCGCCGGCGCGCCGCCAACCGUUCUUCUCCCACGGCGUAACUUCUCCCCUCUUCGCCUCCAAGGCGCGCACGAUGCACCGCGGCUCUCUCUGCUCCCGGCGAAGGCCGCCUCCGAUGACACCUCUGCCGCGAGCGGCGACGAGCUCGUCGACGACCUGAAAGCCAAGUGGGACGCCGUCGAGAACAAGUCCACCGUGCUGACGUACGCCGGCGGCGCCAUCGUCGCCGUAUGGUUCUCCUCCGUCAUCGUCGGCGCCGUCAACUCCCUGCCUCUGCUUCCCAAAAUCAUGGAGCUUGUUGGGCUCGGCUACACCGGAUGGUUCGUGUACCGCUACCUCCUCUUCAAGGAACGCAGGAAAGAGCUGGCCGACGACGUGGAGUCUUUGAAGAAGAGCAUUGCUGGUACAGAGGCAGAGUAA